rnacentral:lncRNA from 1 species
AAGCUCUUGUUGGUACCAUAAAUUAGUUUUGCUUCACACUGUCUUGAUCAAGAGCGUGUGAAGCUUUUGAGAAUUGUGGUUGAACUCCAUUAAUGAAGCUCUUGUUGGCACCAUAAAUUGGUUUUGCUUCACACUGUCUUGAUCAAGAGUGUGUGAAACUUUUGAGAAUUAUGGUUGCCCUCCAUUGAUGAAGCUCUUGUUGGUACCAUAAAUUGGUUUUGCUUCACACCGUCUUGAUCAAGAGUUUGUGAAGCUUUUAAGAAUUGUGGUUGAACUCCUUUGAUGAAGCUCUUGUUGGCACCAUAAAUUGGUUUUGUUUCACACUGUCUUGAUCAAGAGUGUGUGAAGUUUUUGAGAAUUGUGGUUUCCAUCCAUUGAUGAAACUUUUGUUGGCACCAUAAAUUGGUUUUGCUUCACACUGUCUUGAUCAAGAGCGUGCGAAGCUUUUGAGAAUUAUGGUUGAACUCUUUUAAUGAAGCUCUUGUUGGCACCAUAAAUUGGUUUUGCUUCACACUGUCUUGAUCAGAAGUGUGUGAAGCUUUUGAGAAUUGUGGUUGCCCUCCAUUGAUGAAGCUCUUGUUGGCACCAUAAAUUGGUUUUGCUUCACACUGUCUUGAUAAAAAGUGUAUGAAGUUUUUGAGAAUUGUGGUUGAACUCCUUUGAUGAAGCUCUUGUUGGCACCAUAAAUUGGUUUUGCUUCACACUGUCUUGAUCAAGAGUGUUUGAAUCUUUUGAGAAUUUAGUUGCCCUCUAUUGAUGAAGCUCUUGUUGGCACCAUAAAUUAGUUUUGCUUCACACUGUCUUGAUCAGGAGCGUGUGAAGCUUUUGAGAAUUGUGGUUGAACUCAUUUAAUGAAGCUCUUGUUGGCAUUAUAAAUUGGUUUUGCUUCACACUGUCUUGAUCAAGAUUGUGUGAAGUUUUCUACGAGUUGUAGUGUUUGCAUUGUUACAGAGGGGAAAUGUUUGAAGCAGAUGUAAGAGAGCUGAAUAGCUUGAUCUUCGUAUGCCAUGCACUGAAGUUGUUGUUUGCUUGCAAUAAGACUUUGUUGGUGGCUAUAACUCUUGUUGGGCAUAAGUGCUCCCCUAGUUGAGUUGUCAAGCUUGAGGGUUUUUUAUUAUUUGUGAAUGCUAUGAGUUCACAUGUACAAGUUGUACCACUCGUCUUUUGGUAGGUGGAAUGAAUGGUGAGUUGCUUUCAUCACUUGGUUGGUGGUACGAAUGUGAGUUCAUUCAUUACCUUUCAUCACAUUUCAUCACCUGGUUGGUGGUACGAGGAUGAGUUCCUUCUUCCCCUGGUUGGUGGCAUGAAUGGCAAGUUGCCAAAUGAUAUUAGAGUACGGGUUGUACAUUUCAUCACCUGGUUGGUGGCAUGAAGGAGAGUACAGGUUGUACAUUUCAUCACUUGGUUGGUGGCAUGAAGAUGAGUUCCAUCUUCACCUGGUUGGUGGUAUGAGUGGUAAGUUUCCAAAUGAUAUUAGAGUACGGGUUGUACAUUUCAUCACCUGGUUGGUGGCAUGAAGGAGAGUAUGGGUUGUACAUUUCAUCACCUGGUUGGUGGCAUGAAGAUGAGUUCCUUCUUCACCUGGUUGGUGGCAUGAGUGACAAGUUGCCAAAUGAUAUUAGAGUAUGGGUUGUACAUUUCAUCAUCUGGUUGGUGGCAUGAAAAUGAGUUCCUUCUUCACAUUUCAUCACCUAGUUGGUGAGAAUAAGGGCAAGGUGUCUAGGCACAUUGUAGCAAGUGUCGAACGACACAAAGUAUGUUGAACCCUUUCAAAGCACAGUUGGCUUAUGUAUGAAUGUGUUGGAAUGUAUGAUUGAACGAAUAUAUUGUGAAGCUGUUCGUUUAUUUGUAUAGUCUUAUUGACAUAUACUUAGACUUUGUUUCAUAUUGGAAGCAUUCAUGUUGAAGCUUUGAAUCCGAGUGUUUCAUCACUAGGAAUGUAAGAGGAUUAUGACCGAGUUGUCUAAAUCACCGCUUUAUUGAAUUCAUGCCAAAUAGUUUUCGUUACAUAGGAUGCCGAACAUCUGAAGCUUAACACUUAUACAAUAUGAGUUUACUUGUAAUAGUACUUUAAGUGAUCAGCGUUCCAUGAAUGGCCAGGGGUCUUACCAUCGGAGCUUCUAAGCUUGUAGGAGCUAGGGCGACUGAUGCCAACAGCUUCAAACGGUCCAUCCCAGUUUGGACUAAGUGGUCUUUCACUCGGGACUUUAUCGCAGAGUAAUCGUUUCUUCAAUACCCAGUCCCCCACUUUGAAAAAACGAGGUUUGACCCUUGAGUCAUAGUAGUUGGAGAUGCGCUGAUUGUAGGCGACAUU